AUUGAACGCUGGCGGCAUGCCUUACACAUGCAAGUCGAACGGCAGCACGGGAGCAAUCCUGGUGGCGAGUGGCGAACGGGUGAGUAAUAUAUCGGAACGUGCCCAGUCGUGGGGGAUAACGUAGCGAAAGCUACGCUAAUACCGCAUACGAUCUAUGGAUGAAAGCGGGGGAUCGCAAGACCUCGCGCGAUUGGAGCGGCCGAUAUCAGAUUAGGUAGUUGGUGAGGUAAAGGCUCACCAAGCCUUCGAUCUGUAGCUGGUCUGAGAGGACGACCAGCCACACUGGGACUGAGACACGGCCCAGACUCCUACGGGAGGCAGCAGUGGGGAAUUUUGGACAAUGGGCGAAAGCCUGAUCCAGCCAUGCCGCGUGCAGGAUGAAGGCCUUCGGGUUGUAAACUGCUUUUGUACGGAACGAAACGGUGAGCUCUAAUACAGUUUGCUAAUGACGGUACCGUAAGAAUAAGCACCGGCUAACUACGUG
rnacentral:rRNA from 1 species